CUAAUUUGCAUUUCAGCAUCUGAUAAGGAGAGCAGAAUAUAUAUCUGGCCAGGGCUUUGCGCAAUUUCUUUGACUGCCAUAGGAGUCACCAUCCUCAUCUUGACAUACAAGAAAAGCAAAGGGAAUAAACCAACGAGUAGCAGCAUGCCCUGCACUCCUGCGGAGAAAAAGAAUUUGAACCAAGAUGGAGGAGACAGACACCAGUACCAGCCAACACCUAAGAGCCAGCAGAGUGUUUUCUACCAAAAUGAACGGCAAACCCCAGGAAGUUCUCAGCACAAGAGAAACCCAUUUUCAAAAUCAAAGGACAGUCAAAGAGAGACACUGGUACCCAGAGCAAUGUUUCAAGACGAAAAAGAAGAGAAUGAGGAAGGCAAUCUGAAUCAUUCAUUUGUGGAAGGGGUUGAAAAGACUGAAAACUCAGUUUUUAAAAAUUAGAGAGAAGGUAAACUUUCACUACUGCAAAUGAAAAAAGCAGAGAAACCAACGUCACUAACUCAGCAUUCAAACCAGCCCCAAAGAAGAUUUUUUUCAAAGCAUUUUGCAGGAGCUUGGAGAAAGGAGCUAUUUAUAACAUGACUUUGACCAAAAUAAGCUAAAAAAGGUGGGAGGGGAAAGUUGUGGUGGCUUCAUUUCCCCCUCCCCUCCAUUUAUGGUAUGUAAAAGGUAUGUGUCUCUUUCAGAGAAUCCAUUUGACCUGAGACUUGGAGACGGAAAACAUGCAGGUGAACAAAAUCAGGUCACAUGCCUUUCCUUCUCACCCCCCUCCCCCAAGGAAAAGCUGCGGCUAGAGCUGUGUGAAUAAUGGAUUUCUCG